GCGCCCGUAGCUCAGCUGGAUAGAGCGCUGCCCUCCGGAGGCAGAAGUCAGAGGUUCGAAUCCUCUCGGGCGCGCCA
rnacentral:tRNA from 3 species